rfam:Rhodnius prolixus Rhodnius_prolixus-3.0.3-103.15, whole genome shotgun sequence.
UUAACGGUUUUCUUGAAAACCACUCAACAGAUAAAAGAAAAUAACU